GACGAACGCUGGCGGCGUGCCUAAUACAUGCAAGUAGAACGCUGAAGGAGGAGCUUGCUUCUCUGGAUGAGUUGGGAACGGGUGAGUAACGCGUAGGUAACCUGCCUGGUAGCGGGGGAUAACUAUUGGAAACGAUAGCUAAUACCGCAUAAGAGUAGAUGUCGCAUGACAUUUGCUUAAAAGGUGCAAUUGCAUCACUACCAGAUGGACCUGCGUUGUAUUAGCUAGUUGGUGAGGUAACGGCUCACCAAGGCAACGAUACAUAGCCGACCUGAGAGGGUGAUCGGCCACACUGGGACUGAGACACGGCCCAGACUCCUACGGGAGGCAGCAGUAGGGAAUCUUCGGCAAUGGACGGAAGUCUGACCGAGCAACGCCGCGUGAGUGAAGAAGGUUUUCGGAUCGUAAAGCUCGGUUGUAAGAGAAGAACGAGUGUGAGAGUGGAAAGUUCACACUGUGACGGUAUCUUACCAGAAAGGGACGGCUAACUACGUG
rnacentral:rRNA from 1 species